rnacentral:rRNA from 1 species
UACGGAGGGGGCUAGCGUUGUUCGGAAUUACUGGGCGUAAAGCGCACGUAGGCGGACUGUUAAGUCGGGGGUGAAAUCCUGGGGCUCAACCUCAGAAUUGCCUCCGAUACUGGCAGUCUCGAGUGCGGGAGAGGUGAGUGGAAUUCCCAGUGUAGAGGUGAAAUUCGUAGAUAUUGGGAGGAACACCAGUGGCGAAGGCGGCUCACUGGCCCGUAACUGACGCUGAGGUGCGAAAGCGUGGGGAGCAAACAGG